AUUGAACGCUGGCGGCAGGCCUAACACAUGCAAGUCGAGCGGUAGAGAGAAGCUUGCUUCUCUUGAGAGCGGCGGACGGGUGAGUAAUGCCUAGGAAUCUGCCUGGUAGUGGGGGAUAACGUUCGGAAACGGACGCUAAUACCGCAUACGUCCUACGGGAGAAAGCAGGGGACCUUCGGGCCUUGCGCUAUCAGAUGAGCCUAGGUCGGAUUAGCUAGUUGGUGAGGUAAUGGCUCACCAAGGCGACGAUCCGUAACUGGUCUGAGAGGAUGAUCAGUCACACUGGAACUGAGACACGGUCCAGACUCCUACGGGAGGCAGCAGUGGGGAAUAUUGGACAAUGGGCGAAAGCCUGAUCCAGCCAUGCCGCGUGUGUGAAGAAGGUCUUCGGAUUGUAAAGCACUUUAAGUUGGGAGGAAGGGCAGUU
rnacentral:rRNA from 1 species